GUGGCGCAGCUAACGCAUUAAGUUAUCCGCCUGGGGAGUACGGCCGCAAGGUUAAAACUCAAAGGAAUUGACGGGGGCCUGCACAAAGCAUGUGGUUUAAUUCGAAGCAACGCGCAGAACCUUACCAGCGUUUGACAUGGUAGGACGACUUCCAGAGAUGGAUUUCUUCCCUUCGGGGACCUACACACAGGUGCUGCAUGGCUGUCGUCAGCUCGUGUCGUGAGAUGUUGGGUUAAGUCCCGCAACGAGCGCAACCCUCGACUUUAGUUACCAUCAUUAAGUUGGGUACUUUAAAGUAACCGCCGGUGAUAAGCCGGAGGAAGGUGGGGAUGACGUCAAGUCCUCAUGGCCCUUACGCGCUGGGCUACACACGUGCUACAAUGGCAAGUACAGUGGGCAGCAAUCCCGCGAGGGUGAGCUAAUCUCCAAAACUUGUCUCAGUUCGGAUUGUUGUUGCACUCGAACGAGUUGACCUGACCCAAUGA
rnacentral:rRNA from 1 species